GAAGGAGCUCCUGUAACCGGAGCGGCCACUGGGCGGCGCCGCAGCCCGCAACUUCCGCGGCCGGACAGCCGGCGUUUCCUCCCUGCUACACGCUGCAGGCCAAUCCGCUCACUCGCUCCGUGUUGGGUUACAGUGACAAGGGGGCCCUGUCUGAACCACGACUUUUAGAAAGAUAAUAUUACAGACUCACAGCUGAUCUAUCCCCCAGUACACAAUUGAGACAGAGGAGGUUAAAGCACUCUGAACGCAUCGGACCAUAUUGCAGCGCCUCCCAGCACUCCUCCAUGUUCUCCUCCAUCUGCCUCCUGUCCAUUGAUCAGCUUUCCAGGGCAUCAGUCUGUUUAACAUCUGCUACAAGUUCCAACAGCUCAGAUGCGCAGGGGCUGUAAUGAAGAGCUCUUGAACUCCCAGUCAGAGAAGCUGUGACAGGAGUUCAGGAGGAUGCCUCUUUGCCUCUGCUGGACGUACCACACACACACACACACACACACACACACACACACACACACACACACAGACACUGAGGUUCACAUGCAUCCAGAGACAACAACAAACAGCUAAUACAGAAAUCAAAAUGAAGCUGUCACUCAUACAUUGUUUCACAAAUCACUAGCUUUUCAUUUAAAGUGUCCAAUGUCCAAUCUUACAACUGAUAAAGGAAAAAUAUCAACAAUCUACCCUGCGCUUCUGUUUUUUAUUUUCU